rnacentral:rRNA from 1 species
AUUGAACGCUGGCGGCAGGCCUAACACAUGCAAGUCGAACGAGUGGCGGACGGGUGAGUAAUGUAUGGGGAUCUGCCCGAUAGAGGGGGAUAACUACUGGAAACGGUGGCUAAUACCGCAUACUAUCGGAUGAACCCAUAUGGGAUUAGCUAGUAGGUGGGGUAAAGGCGCACCUAGGCGACGAUCUCUAGCUGGUCUGAGAGGAUGAACAGCCACACUGGGACUGAGACACGGUCCAGACUCCUACGGGAGGCAGCAGUGGGGAAUAUUGCACAAUGGGCGCAAGCCUGAUGCAGCCAUGCCGCGUGGAUGAAGAAGGCCUUAGGGUUGUAAAGUACUUUCAGCGGGGAGGCGUUACCCGCAGAAGAAGCACCGGCUAACUCCGUGCCAGCAGCCGCGGUAAUUC